UACGGAGGGGGCUAGCGUUGUUCGGAAUCACUGGGCUUAAAGGGCGCGUAGGCGGGAGACCGAGUCCGGGGUGAAAUCUUUCGGCCCAACCGGAAAAGUGCCUCUGAUACUGGAUGCCUCGAGUUAGGUAGGGGCGUGUGGAACUUCCGGUGGAGCGGUGAAAUGCGUAGAUAUCGGAAGGAACGCCGGUGGCGAAAGCGACGCGCUGGACCUCAACUGACGCUGAGGCGCGAAAGCCAGGGGAGCAAACGGG
rnacentral:rRNA from 1 species